rnacentral:rRNA from 1 species
GAUGAACGCUGACCGAAUGCUUAACACAUCAGCAAUUGAUUGGUGGCGGACGGGUGAGUAACGCGUAAAGAACUUGCCUCACAGGUAGGGACAACAUUUGGAAACGAAUGCUAAUACCUAAUACUGUGAGAGAGCUUUGCGUCCCAUUAGCUAGUUGGAGAGGUAACGGCUCACCAAGGCGAUGAUGGGUAGCCGGCCUGAGAGGGUGAUCGGCCACAAGUGGACUGAGACAACGCCCUUACUCCUACGGGAGGCAGCAGGGGGGAAUAUUGAACAAUGGACCAUAGUCUGUUCGAGCAAUUCUGUGCACACGAUGAAGUUUUCGGAAUGUGAAGUGCUUUCAGUUAGGAAGCGGUACGAACAGAAGAAGAGUCGGCUAAAUACGUGCCAGCAGCCGCGGUAAUUC